rnacentral:rRNA from 1 species
UACGGAGGGUGCAAACGUUGCUCGGAAUCAUUGGGCGUAAAGCGCGCGUAGGCGGUUUCUUAAGUCGGAUGUGAAAGCCCUUGGCUCAACUGAGGAAGUGCAUCCGAAACUGAGCAGCUAGAGUACGAAAGAGGGUCGCGGAAUUCCCGGUGUAGAGGUGAAAUUCGUAGAUAUCGGGAGGAACACCGGUGGCGAAGGCGGCGACCUGGGUCGAGACUGACGCUGAGGCGCGAAAGCGUGGGGAGCAAACAGG